rnacentral:rRNA from 1 species
GUUAAAAGCUCGUAGUUGAACCUUGGGUCUGGCUGGCCGGUCCGCCUCACCGCGAGUACUGGUCCGGCUGGACCUUUCCUUCUGGGGAACCCCAUGGCCUUCACUGGCUGUGGGGGGAACCAGGACUUUUACUGUGAAAAAAUUAGAGUGUUCAAAGCAGGCCUUUGCUCGGAUACAUUAGCAUGGAAUAAUAGAAUAGGACGUGCGGUUCUAUUUUGUUGGUUUCUAGGACCGCCGUAAUGAUUAAUAGGGAUAGUCGGGGGCGUCAGUAUUCAGCUGUCAGAGGUGAAAUUCUUGGAUUUGCUGAAGACUAACUACUGCGAAAGCAUUCGCCAAGGAUGUUUUCAUUAAUCAGGGAACGAAAGUUAGGGGAUCGAAGACGAUCAGAUACCGUCGUAGUCUUAACCAUAAACUAUGCCGACUAGGGAUCGGGCGGCGUUUCUUUUAUGACCCGCUCGGCACCUUACGAGAAAUCAAAGUUUUUGGGUUCUGGGGGGAGUAUGGUCGCAAGGCUGAAACUUAAAGAAAUUGACGGAAGGGCACCACAAGGCGUGGAGCCUGCGGCUUAAUU